CCUACGGGUGGCAGCAGUGGGGGAUAUUGCACAAUGGGGGGAACCCUGAUGCAGCGACGCCGCGUGGGUGAAGAAGCGCCUCGGCGCGUAAAGCCCUGUCAGCAGGGAAGAAAAUGACGGUAUCUGAAGAAGAAGCCCCGGCUAACUACGGGCCAGCAGCCGCGGUAAUACGUAGGGGGCACACGUUAUCCGGAUUUACUGGGUGUAAAGGGGGCGCAGACGGGGAUGCAAGCCAGGAGUGAAAGCCCGGGGCUCAACCCCGGGACUGCUCUUGGAACUGCGUGGCUGGAGUGCAGGAGGGGCAGGCGGAAUUCCUGGUGUAGCGGUGAAAUGCGUAGAUAUCAGGAGGAACACCAGUGGCGAAGGCGGCCUGCUGGACUGCAACUGACGUUGAGGCCCGAAAGCGUGGGGAGCAAACAGGAUUAGAUACCCGAGUAGUC
rnacentral:rRNA from 1 species